rnacentral:rRNA from 1 species
UACGGGGGGAGCGAACGUUGUUCGGAAUCACUGGGCGUAAAGAGCGCGCAGGCGGUCGUUCAAGUCGCGUGUGAAAGCCCCCGGCUCAACUGGGGAGGGUCACGCGAUACUGAUCGACUCGAAGGCAGGAGAGGGAAGUGGAAUUCCCGGUGUAGUGGUGAAAUGCGUAGAUAUCGGGAGGAACACCAGUGGCGAAGGCGACUUCCUGGCCUGUUCUUGACGCUGAGGCGCGAAAGCUAGGGGAGCAAACGGG